rnacentral:rRNA from 1 species
UACGAAGGGGGCUAGCGUUGCUCGGAAUCACUGGGCGUAAAGCGCACGUAGGCGGCUUACUAAGUCAGGGGUGAAAUCCUGGAGCUCAACUCCAGAACUGCCUUUGAUACUGGUGAGCUUGAGUCCGGAAGAGGUGAGUGGAACUGCGAGUGUAGAGGUGAAAUUCGUAGAUAUCGCAAGAACACCAGUGGCGAAGGCGGCUCACUGGUCCGGUACUGACGCUGAGGUGCGAAAGCGUGGGGAGCAACAGG